AUGAUCCAUUGCCACCCCUGCGCACACCCCACUCCUCUCGACGGUUCCCAGCGACGGCCCGCCGCCGGCCGCCUUGCCGCCCUCCCCAUCACUGCCAGCUAGCCGCCCUACCUCUCCCUCCACUCCGCCCUUUGCCAAACCCUCACGCCUCUCUCCCCUCUCUCGCGACUCGCGAGCGCGGCCGCCUCCGGACUCCGCCUCUUCGCCUCGCGCCUGCUCCCCAGUGCAUCCCGAUGCAUUCGCGCUACCGUCAGCCUCCCUCGAUGCCUGCACUGCCUCCCCGCCGAGAACCUGCACCUCUCCCUCCUCCUCGAGGAGCUCGUGGUCUCCGAGCAGAGCAAUCUGGCAUCCGUGGUGGCUCUAACACCGCCGCUGAAGCCCGUGCAAGCCGAAGCAGCAUCCGGAUGCGCCCCAAAUAGCAUCUCCAUACGCUCGAAGUGGUUCAUCUCGCCAAAGCAGCCACUGCGCGAGAUCCAACCACAGCGCAUCCCCGGGGAAGGAGGACACAGGGGGAAGGAGAAAGAUGACGGGGAUGUGGAGAGGGCAGGGUGCUCUGAAGACGGAGCUGUGAAACAAGUGGGAGCGCAGCGCGUGCCCCUAUGACGGGUGGUGCAGGUUCACGCACGGCAUGGAGGAGCUGUGCCUCAUGAUCUACUACCCCCGCUGCAAUGCAAGACCCUCGUGGGCCAGUUGUUCGCCGCUGCCUCCGGCUGCCCCUACGGCCAUCGCUGCCACUUCCGCCACUCCUUGCCGUCCACUGCUGAGUCCUGCUAGGCCGCCGGCGACCGUCCGCCACCUACUGCUGCCACGUUGAUAUGAUCAAUGGCUGAAUUCUUAUUUGGAUGCAUUCAAGAAUGGAUCAAGAAACAGUGAAUUUGUUUCUCAAUACUUAUAUAUUUGAAUUUUCCUUUCCAAUAGUACAGAUUGUGUACUCUUUGCUAUAGUGUAUAUUUGUCCUAGGUGAGACAUGCCCUUACUGUAGAACAUGUUUUCCCCUGGUUUUAGAAGUUUUUAGCUCUUGGGGGUAUUGGUCGCCUUUUGGACUAGGGUUAAGGUUUUGCCCUCGUCGCUAUUCUCAGCAUGCCAUCAAUCUGCACAGUUCCUUUUCGUGCUCCUAAUGAUCUCAAAAAAUAUCAAACCUUUACAUGAGUUGGAGAAGAGUUAGAGAUCUUUCCAUGGCCGCAGAGAACAUCUCAAUCGGAUUUAAGAUGAGGGAGAAACUAAGGUUGGAAUCUGACUGUUUUUCAGUCUCGUAAUUCUGAGCAGUGUCUGUCAACCUGAAGUUUUGGAAAUAUUAAUGGCGUUUUUGGACUUUCUAGUAGUUAAAAGAGUUGUAGAUAAUUUCAUAGAAUUUCCAGAUUGGUAAAGAUCAUGUUCAUCUGAAUUUUGGAGCUUCAGUUAUGACUGUUUUAGUAGGACUGUUCUGCAGAAUCUGUCAGAUUGUCAGAUUAAUGUUCACCUCGAGUUUAUCCAAUGCUAAUGAUUCUUCCUACACUUUUUGAUAACUACAAAGUUGUAGGCUAUGAAGUUAUCUUUCUUGUGGCUAAAUAUCAGAAUUUUUCACCAUCAGAAUUAAAGACUCAAAAAGUGAAGCAAUAGUGCUGCUGUUUUCACUAGAUUAGCAUAUCAUGAUGUGAGGACGUUGGGUUUGGGCGUAGGAUCGCUUUACUCAAUGUUUUUUAUUUUUAAACUGUGUUUGUUUUGGUGCUGAGGUAUGUUUGUGAACAGGUGGUGCAUCUUCGGACCAUGCUUAACUCACAGUCUUGAUCUUUGGUGAAGGCAAGUAAACGUAGCGAUGUGGUCUACUCGCUUUAGCUUUGUUAUUUGAAUUGCCUCCAUUAAAUUUCAGAAGCUUACACGAGCCAGAUAAGAUCUGAAUUUUGCUUUAUUUGUGGAUUUAUAUGUUUAUCCACUUGUGGCUUUGCUCUUGGAGUUAUAAAUUUUGGAGGUAUAUGAAGUUCAUGCAUUGCAAUCAUACUUUUGCACUCUCAUAUUGAAGAUGCAUAUGAAGAAACCGUAGCCGGAUUGGUGCGGUAAGUACCGGUACAGCAACGCACGUUGAGAUAUAGCAAUGUGGUUGCAGCCCUCACUUCCUUGGGAUUUGUGGGUAGAAGUGAAGUCUUUCCAUUGCAUUGCACCAUAAGCACAUGCAUUGAAGCAUUCAUAAUGCAUUGCACAAUUUGCAUAUGCAUUGAAGCAUCAUUACGAAGAUCUCUACCUGAAGUUACACUGUCUUAGUAUGAUGCUUAUUCUAUAUGAAAUUAUUAAUCCAAUGUUUAAUCAAAUUAUGAUUUAAAUAGCUUGGUUAAAGCCGUUUUUUUGCUGAUAUUUUUCCAUAAACCUCACACUUGAUGUUUUCCCUCACAGGUGCUUGAGCUUGGACGUUGCAUGCUUGGGAUGGAAGUAGCAGCACGUGUGCACACACAUAUCAAUUUUUGUUGAACCAAUGUUUUAUAAUAAAAUAUUUGGAUGUGGAGAUUCUGAUGUUGUUUUAAAAUCUCUCGUGUGGUUCAGUUUGUCAAAUAUUUAUUUCACUUCUGUGAAAUUUUGUUAAUCUAUCUGAAUGAUUUAUGUUGCUUCCGCGUA